AUACGUAGGGGGCAAGCGUUAUCCGGAUUUACUGGGUGUAAAGGGAGCGUAGACGGUAAAGCAAGUCUGAAGUGAAAGCUCGGGGCUCAACCCCGGAACUGCUUCUGAAACUGCUUUACUUGAGUGCUGGAGAGGAUAGUGGAAUUCCUAGUGUAGCGGUAAAAUGCGCAGAUAUUAGGAGGAAAACCGGUGGCGAAGGCGGCUAUCUGGACAGUAACUGACGCUGAGGCGCGAAAGCACGGGGAGCAAACAGGAUUAGAUACCCUGGUAGUCCGUGCCGUAAACGAUGAAUACUAGGUGUAGGGGGUAUCGACUCCCUCUGUGCCGCAGUUAACACAUUAAGUAUUCCACCUGGGGAGUACGGCCGCAAGGUUGAAACUCAAAUGAAUUGACGGGG
rnacentral:rRNA from 1 species